GAGGAAGGACGCACCUGUGGACGGUGGAUGGCGGCAGACCGUGGAUGGCGGUAGACGAUGGUUGGCGGCAGCGGACGAUGGUUAGCGACGGCUGAUGAUGGAUGGCGAUAACGGUGAAAGACCCAGAGAGGUUGGACGCUCAGAGAGAUUUUGAUUUCUCAAUCUCACGACACUCGUGGACUGUGAUGCCGAGGAAGGACGCACCUGUGGACGGUGGAUGG
rnacentral:lncRNA from 1 species